GACGAACGCUGGCGGCGUGCUUAACACAUGCAAGUCGAACGGAAAGGCCUGCUUUCCCUUGUGGAUUGCGGGUACUCGAGUGGCGAACGGGUGAGUAACACGUGAGUGAUCUGCCCCCAACUUGGGUAUAAGCCUGGGAAACUGGGUCUAAUUCCCGAUAGGACUGCAGGGUGGUGCCUGUGGUGGAAAACGAUUUUCUAGUGGUUGGGGAUGAGCUCGCGGCCUAUCAGCUUGUUGGUGGGGUAAUGGCCUACCAAGGCGGCGACGGGUAGCCGGCCUGGGAGGGUGGACGGCCACAUUGGAACUGAGAUACGGCCCAGACUCCUACGGGAGGCAGCAGUGGGGAAUAUUGCACGAUGGGCGGAAGCCUGAUGCAGCGACGCCGCGUGGGGGAUUACGGCCUUCGGGUUGUAAACUCCUUUCGACCGCGAGGAAGCCACCUGGUUGGAAGGGUGGUGACGGUAGUGGUAGAAGAAGCACCGGCUAACUACGUG
rnacentral:rRNA from 1 species